AUACGGAGGGUGCGAGCGUUGUUCGGAAUCACUGGGCGUAAAGGGCGCGCAGGCGGUUUGGUAAGUCAGAUGUGAAAGCCCACGGCUCAACCGUGGAAGUGCAUUUGAAACUGCCAGACUUGAGUACCAGAGGGGAAAGUGGAAUUCCCGGUGUAGAGGUGAAAUUCGUAGAUAUCGGGAGGAAUACCGGUGGCGAAGGCGACUUUCUGGCUGGAUACUGACGCUGAGGCGCGAAAGCGUGGGGAGCAAACAGGAUUAGAUACCCUAGUAGUCC
rnacentral:rRNA from 1 species